rnacentral:rRNA from 1 species
AACGCGAAGAACCUUACCAGGUCUUGACAUACUCGUGCUAUUCCUAGAGAUAGGAAGUUCCUUCGGGACACGGGAUACAGGUGGUGCAUGGUUGUCGUCAGCUCGUGUCGUGAGAUGUUGGGUUAAGUCCCGCAACGAGCGCAACCCCUAUUGUUAGUUGCCAUCAUUAAGUUGGGCACUCUAACGAGACUGCCGGUGAUAAACCGGAGGAAGGUGGGGAUGACGUCAAAUCAUCAUGCCCCUUAUGACUUGGGCUACACACGUGCUACAAUGGCGUAGACAAAGGGAAGCGAAGCCGCGAGGCGGAGCAAAUCCCAAAAAUAACGUCUCAGUUCGGAUUGUAGUCUGCAACUCGACUACAUGAAGCUGGAAUCGCUAGUAAUCGCAAAUCAGAAUGUUGCGGUGAAUACGUUCCCGGGUCUUGUACACACCG